UACAGAGGGGGCAAGCGUUAUUCGGAAUUAUUGGGCGUAAAGGGCGCGUAGGCGGCUUUGCAAGUGACGGGUGAAAUCCCACGGCUUAACCGUGGAACUGCCUGUCAGACUGGAAGGCUUGAGACCGGGAGAGGUGAGUGGAAUUCCCAGUGUAGCGGUGAAAUGCGUAGAUAUUGGGAGGAACACCAGUGGCGAAGGCGGCUCACUGGACCGGAACUGACGCUGAGGCGCGAAAGCGUGGGGAGCAAACAGG
rnacentral:rRNA from 1 species